rnacentral:lncRNA from 1 species
AAACAAUCAAUUUGAAAUAUCCAGUAACAAAUGAAUUUUAUUCUAAAGCAAAGUAAAUAUACUGAAGUCAAGAAAAAGAGAAAAUAGGGAAACAAUUGUCUACUCUAUAUAGUGAAAUAAGAAAGAAAAACAGAAGAAAAAAAAUACAACGAUACAUCAUGAGAAGAAGAUAAAAAGAAAAAGAAAUUAAAAUGAGCUUAGCCCUCACCCGCAAAAAAGAAAAAGAAAAAAGAAAGAACUUAUUACCCCUAGAAGCUAUAGUGAACAAAUGACAAAACAUGCACAAAGCUAGCAGCGUGGCAUCUUUAGACCCCAUCUUUCUUUACCUCGGUUAAAAAAGAAAAGAAAAGACUCACAAAACUCAGCUCGUUUAAAUAAGCAAAAAGGCCUGGAGAAAACUCAUGCACAUGGCUGAUCCUCCUACGAGACGAGCCGUCCAUCAUGGCUCCCGCAAUUAACAAAAGACAGGGUGAAUCUAGCGAGACAACCAGAGGGCCAUAAAGUGACUAUGACCAUACUUAAAACUCAGCUAGCUGAGUUUCAGCAAAACU